rnacentral:rRNA from 1 species
AGCUCCAGUAGCGUAUAUUAAAGUUGUUGCAGUUAAAAAGCUCGUAGUUGGAUUUCUGGUGUGAGACAUCUGGCCCGCGAACCGAAUGGUUGUGUGAGUGCCGGUUUCAUGUUUCCGCCAUCAUCCGAGGGUCUGUGCCUACCAUUUAUUUGGCCGGGUUCAGUAUAACUUUCGGACGUUUACUUUGAAAAAAUUAGAGUGUUCAAAGCAGGCUUACGCCGUGAAUACAUUAGCAUGGAAUAAUGAUCUAGGACUUUGGUUCUAUUUUGUUGGUUUCUAGGACUGAAGUAAUGAUUGAUAGGGAUAGUUGGGGGUGCUAGUAUUCAACGGCCAGAGGUGAAAUUCUUGGAUUCGUUGAAGACUAACUAAUGCGAAAGCAUUCACCAAGGAUGUCUUCUUU